rnacentral:rRNA from 1 species
CCUACGGGAGACAGCAGUGAGGAAUAUUGGUCAAUGGCCGGAAGGCUGAACCAGCCAUGCCGCGUGAAGGUCAGUGCCCUAUGGGCGUUAAACUUCUUUUGUGCGGGAGCAAUAAUGGUCACGUGUGGCCAGACGAGAGUACCGUACGAAUAAGCAUCGGCUAACUCCGUGCCAGCAGCCGCGGUAAUACGGGGGAUGCAAGCGUUAUCCGGGUUUAUUGGGUUGAAAGGGUGCGUAGGCUGGGAGAUAAGUCAGGGGUGAAAUGCCCCCGCUCAACGGGGUGAAGUGCCAUUGAAACUGCCUUGCUAGAGUGUGGAAGCGGUAGGUGGAAUGUGUGGUGUAGCGGUAAAA